GUAGGGGGCUAGCGUUGUCCGGAUUUAUUGGGCGUAAAGAGCGCGUAGGCGGCCGAGUAAGUCCGACGUGAAAUCUGGAGGCUCAACCUCCAGCGGUCGUUGGAAACUAUUCGGCUAGAGUCCGGAAGAGGAGAGUGGAAUUCCUGGUGUAGCGGUGAAAUGCGCAGAUAUCAGGAAGAACACCGAUGGCGAAAGCAGCUCUCUGGGACGGUACUGACGCUGAGGCGCGAAAGCGUGGGGAGCGAACAGGAUUAGAUACCCUGGUAGUCCACGCCGUAAACGAUGGGUGCUAGGUGUGAGCGGUGUCGACUCCGCUCGUGCCGAAGCUAACGCAUUAAGCACCCCGCCUGGGGAGUACGGCCGCAAGGCUAAA
rnacentral:rRNA from 1 species